rfam:Schistosoma rodhaini strain Burundi genome assembly, scaffold: SROB_scaffold0000059
GCACUGCUGAGGAGGCCCACAAUAGAACGAAACAGCUGUCCAGUGC